UGACCUUAGUACGGCGAGUGAAGCGGCAAAAGCUCAAAUUUGAAAUCUGGUACCUUCGGUGCCCGAGUUGUAAUUUGGAGAGGGCAACUUUGGGGCCGUUCCUUGUCUAUGUUCCUUGGAACAGGACGUCAUAGAGGGUGAGAAUCCCGUGUGGCGAGGAGUGCGGUUCUUUGUAAAGUGCCUUCGAAGAGUCGAGUUGUUUGGGAAUGCAGCUCUAAGUGGGUGGUAAAUUCCAUCUAAAGCUAAAUAUUGGCGAGAGACCGAUAGCGAACAAGUACAGUGAUGGAAAGAUGAAAAGAACUUUGAAAAGAGAGUGAAAAAGUACGUGAAAUUGUUGAAAGGGAAGGGCAUUUGAUCAGACAUGGUGUUUUGUGCCCUCUGCUCCUUGUGGGUAGGGGAAUCUCGCAUUUCACUGGGCCAGCAUCAGUUUUGGUGGCAGGAUAAAUCCAUAGGAAUGUAGCUUGCCUCGGUAAGUAUUAUAGCCUGUGGGAAUACUGCCAGCUGGGACUGAGGACUGCGACGUAAGUCAAGGAUGCUGGCAUAAUGGUUAUAUGCCGCCCGUCUUAAAAACCGGACAC
rnacentral:rRNA from 1 species